GAGUAACGCGUGGGUAACCUGCCUUGUACUGGGGGACAACAGUUGGAAACGACUGCUAAUACCGCAUAAGCGCACAGCUUCGCAUGAAGCAGUGUGAAAAACUCCGGUGGUACAAGAUGGACCCGCGUCUGAUUAGCUGGUUGGUGAGGUAACGGCCCACCAAGGCGACGAUCAGUAGCCGGCCUGAGAGGGUGAACGGCCACAUUGGGACUGAGACACGGCCCAAACUCCUACGGGAGGCAGCAUG
rnacentral:rRNA from 1 species